UACGUAGGGACCAAGCGUUGUUCGGAUUUACUGGGCGUAAAGGGCGCGUAGGCGGCGUGUUAAGUCAGCUGUGAAAUCUCCGAGCUUAACUCGGAACGGUCAGCUGAUACUGAUGUGCUAGAGUGCAGAAGGGGCAAUCGGAAUUCUUGGUGUAGCGGUGAAAUGCGUAGAUAUCAAGAAGAACACCUGAGGUGAAGACGGGUUGCUGGGCUGACACUGACGCUGAGGCGCGAAAGCCAGGGGAGCAAACGGG
rnacentral:rRNA from 1 species